UACGUAGGGUGUAAGCGUUAAUCGGAAUUACUGGGCGUAAAGCGUGCGCAGGCGGUUAUAUAAGUCAGAUGUGAAAUCCCCCGGCUCAACCUGGGAAUGGCAUUUGAGACUGUAUGGCUAGAGUGUGUCAGAGGGGGGUAGAAUUCCACGUGUAGCAGUGAAAUGCGUAGAGAUGUGGAGGAAUACCGAUGGCGAAGGCAGCCCCCUGGGAUAACACUGACGCUCAUGCGCGAAAGCGUGGGGAGCAAACAGG
rnacentral:rRNA from 1 species